UGAAUAUUUAGCUGUCAUUCUGUCAUUUGUUUAUCUGUACCAAAUUCAGGUUUCAAUGCCCAAAGCUAGGCAAUAUAAGAAUUCCUUUUGGGGUGAGGGGGUGUGGGGUUUGGUGUGUAUUUUAACGAUUAUAAUUAGAAAGUGUUAAGAAUUGAUUAUAAUUAAAUAGGUAAAUUAUUAUUUAGUCUUUGUAUUUUAAUGA
rnacentral:misc_RNA from 1 species